rnacentral:rRNA from 1 species
CAUGCAAGUCGAACGCCCUUCGCAAGAAGGGAGUGGCGGACGGGUGAGUAACACGUGGGUAACCUACCCCGCGGUGAGGAAUACCGGCGAGAAAUCGUCGACAAUACCACAUACGCUUUCGCAAGAAAGCAAAGUCCCGCAAGGGACGCCGGGGGAUGGGCCUGCGGCCGAUUAGCUAGUUGGUGCGGUAAUGGCCCACCAAGGCGACGAUCGGUAGCUGGUCUGAGAGGAUGAUCAGCCACACUGGGAUUGAGAACGGCCCAGACUCCUACGGGAGGCAGCAGUGAGGAAUUUUCGGCAAUGGGCGCAAGCCUGACCGAGCAACGCCGCGUGCAGGAUGAAGGUCUUCGGAUCGUAAACUGCUUUUCUCUGGGAAGAGUACGGACGGUACCAGAGGAAUAAGCCCCGGCUAACUACGCGCCAGCAGCCGCGGUAAUACGUAGGGGGCAAGCGUUGUCCGGAGUUACUGGGCGUAAAGCGCCCGCAGGCGGUCCCUUAAGUUUGAGGUGACAGCUCCCGGCUUAACUGGGAGAGUGUCUUGAAGACUGGGGGACUUGAGGACCAGAGAGGGACACGGAAUUCCGGGUGGAGUGGUGAAAUGCGUAGAUAUCCGGAGGAACACCGAUGGCGAAGGCAGUGUCCUGGCUGGUUACUGACGCUCAUGGGCGAAAGCUAGGGGAGCGAACGGGAUUAGAUACCCCGGUAGUCCUAGCCGUAAACGAUGACCACUAGGUGUGCGGGGGAUAGACCCCCUGUGUGCCGCAGCUAACGCAAUAAGUGGUCCGCCUGGGGAGUACGGUCGCAAGAUUAAAACUCAAAGGAAUUGACGG